GGGGGACGGGACGCCGAGUCAUUACUCCAACUCUUCGGAGAGGAGGAUGCCUAAGGCAGUGCUGGUGACUGGGGUGAAGUCGUAACAAGGUAGCCGUACCGGAAGGUGUGGCUGGAUCACCUC
rnacentral:rRNA from 1 species